GGGUUGUGAGGUUAAGCGACUAAGCGUACACGGUGGAUGCCCUGGCAGUCAGAGGCGAUGAAGGACGUGCUAAUCUGCGAUAAGCGUCGGUAAGGUGAUAUGAACCGUUAUAACCGGCGAUUUCCGAAUGGGGAAACCCAGUGUGUUUCGACACACUAUCAUUAACUGAAUCCAUAGGUUAAUGAGGCGAACCGGGGGAACUGAAACAUCUAAGUACCCCGAGGAAAAGAAAUCAACCGAGAUUCCCCCAGUAGCGGCGAGCGAACGGGGAGCAGCCCAGAGCCUGAAUCAGUGUGUGUGUUAGUGGAAGCGUCUGGAAAGGCGCGCGAUACAGGGUGACAGCCCCGUACACAAAAAUGCACAUGCUGUGAGCUCGAUGAGUAGGGCGGGACACGUGGUAUCCUGUCUGAAUAUGGGGGGACCAUCCUCCAAGGCUAAAUACUCCUGACUGACCGAUAGUGAACCAGUACCGUGAGGGAAAGGCGAAAAGAACCCCGGCGAGGGGAGUGAAAAAGAACCUGAAACCGUGUACGUACAAGCAGUGGGAGCACGCUUAGGCGUGUGACUGCGUACCUUUUGUAUAAUGGGUCAGCGACUUAUAUUCUGUAGCAAGGUUAACCGAAUAGGGGAGCCGAAGGGAAACCGAGUCUUAACUGGGCGUUAAGUUGCAGGGUAUAGACCCGAAACCCGGUGAUCUAGCCAUGGGCAGGUUGAAGGUUGGGUAACACUAACUGGAGGACCGAACCGACUAAUGUUGAAAAAUUAGCGGAUGACUUGUGGCUGGGGGUGAAAGGCCAAUCAAACCGGGAGAUAGCUGGUUCUCCCCGAAAGCUAUUUAGGUAGCGCCUCGUGAAUUCAUCUCCGGGGGUAGAGCACUGUUUCGGCAAGGGGGUCAUCCCGACUUACCAACCCGAUGCAAACUGCGAAUACCGGAGAAUGUUAUCACGGGAGACACACGGCGGGUGCUAACGUCCGUCGUGAAGAGGGAAACAACCCAGACCGCCAGCUAAGGUCCCAAAGUCAUGGUUAAGUGGGAAACGAUGUGGGAAGGCCCAGACAGCCAGGAUGUUGGCUUAGAAGCAGCCAUCAUUUAAAGAAAGCGUAAUAGCUCACUGGUCGAGUCGGCCUGCGCGGAAGAUGUAACGGGGCUAAACCAUGCACCGAAGCUGCGGCAGCGACGCUUAUGCGUUGUUGGGUAGGGGAGCGUUCUGUAAGCCUGCGAAGGUGUGCUGUGAGGCAUGCUGGAGGUAUCAGAAGUGCGAAUGCUGACAUAAGUAACGAUAAAGCGGGUGAAAAGCCCGCUCGCCGGAAGACCAAGGGUUCCUGUCCAACGUUAAUCGGGGCAGGGUGAGUCGACCCCUAAGGCGAGGCCGAAAGGCGUAGUCGAUGGGAAACAGGUUAAUAUUCCUGUACUUGGUGUUACUGCGAAGGGGGGACGGAGAAGGCUAUGUUGGCCGGGCGACGGUUGUCCCGGUUUAAGCGUGUAGGCUGGUUUUCCAGGCAAAUCCGGAAAAUCAAGGCUGAGGCGUGAUGACGAGGCACUACGGUGCUGAAGCAACAAAUGCCCUGCUUCCAGGAAAAGCCUCUAAGCAUCAGGUAACAUCAAAUCGUACCCCAAACCGACACAGGUGGUCAGGUAGAGAAUACCAAGGCGCUUGAGAGAACUCGGGUGAAGGAACUAGGCAAAAUGGUGCCGUAACUUCGGGAGAAGGCACGCUGAUAUGUAGGUGAAGUCCCUCGCGGAUGGAGCUGAAAUCAGUCGAAGAUACCAGCUGGCUGCAACUGUUUAUUAAAAACACAGCACUGUGCAAACACGAAAGUGGACGUAUACGGUGUGACGCCUGCCCGGUGCCGGAAGGUUAAUUGAUGGGGUUAGCGGUAACGCGAAGCUCUUGAUCGAAGCCCCGGUAAACGGCGGCCGUAACUAUAACGGUCCUAAGGUAGCGAAAUUCCUUGUCGGGUAAGUUCCGACCUGCACGAAUGGCGUAAUGAUGGCCAGGCUGUCUCCACCCGAGACUCAGUGAAAUUGAACUCGCUGUGAAGAUGCAGUGUACCCGCGGCAAGACGGAAAGACCCCGUGAACCUUUACUAUAGCUUGACACUGAACAUUGAGCCUUGAUGUGUAGGAUAGGUGGGAGGCUUUGAAGUGUGGACGCCAGUCUGCAUGGAGCCGACCUUGAAAUACCACCCUUUAAUGUUUGAUGUUCUAACGUUGACCCGUAAUCCGGGUUGCGGACAGUGUCUGGUGGGUAGUUUGACUGGGGCGGUCUCCUCCUAAAGAGUAACGGAGGAGCACGAAGGUUGGCUAAUCCUGGUCGGACAUCAGGAGGUUAGUGCAAUGGCAUAAGCCAGCUUGACUGCGAGCGUGACGGCGCGAGCAGGUGCGAAAGCAGGUCAUAGUGAUCCGGUGGUUCUGAAUGGAAGGGCCAUCGCUCAACGGAUAAAAGGUACUCCGGGGAUAACAGGCUGAUACCGCCCAAGAGUUCAUAUCGACGGCGGUGUUUGGCACCUCGAUGUCGGCUCAUCACAUCCUGGGGCUGAAGUAGGUCCCAAGGGUAUGGCUGUUCGCCAUUUAAAGUGGUACGCGAGCUGGGUUUAGAACGUCGUGAGACAGUUCGGUCCCUAUCUGCCGUGGGCGCUGGAGAACUGAGGGGGGCUGCUCCUAGUACGAGAGGACCGGAGUGGACGCAUCACUGGUGUUCGGGUUGUCAUGCCAAUGGCACUGCCCGGUAGCUAAAUGCGGAAGAGAUAAGUGCUGAAAGCAUCUAAGCACGAAACUUGCCCCGAGAUGAGUUCUCCCUGACUCCUUGAGGGUCCUGAAGGAACGUUGAAGACGACGACGUUGAUAGGCCGGGUGUGUAAGCGCAGCGAUGCGUUGAGCUAACCGGUACUAAUGAACCGUGAGGCUUAACCUUACAACGCCGAAGGUGUUU
rnacentral:rRNA from 1 species